rnacentral:rRNA from 1 species
GGGCCCGCACAAGCGGAGGAACAUGUGGUUUAAUUCGAUGAUACGCGAGGAACCUUACCCGGGCUUGAAUUGCAGCUGCAUAGAGUAGAGAUACUCUUUCCCUUCGGGGCUGCUGUGAAGGUGCUGCAUGGUUGUCGUCAGCUCGUGCCGUGAGGUGUCGGCUUAAGUGCCAUAACGAGCGCAACCCUUGCUGUUAGUUGCUAUCAGGUAAUGCUGAGCACUCUAGCGGGACUGCCAUCGCAAGAUGUGAGGAAGGUGGGGAUGACGUCAAAUCAGCACGGCCCUUACGUCCGGGGCUACACACGUGUUACAAUGGGGGGUACAGAACGUUGGUCAGUGGCGACACUGGUCUAAUCCUCAAAACCCCUCUCAGUUCGGACUGGAGUCUGCAACCCGACUCCACGAAGCUGGAUUCGCUAGUAAUCGCGCAUCAGCCAUGGCGCGGUGAAUACGUUCCCGGGCCUU